rnacentral:rRNA from 1 species
UGGGGAAUAUUGCACAAUGGGCGCAAGCCUGAUGCAGCCAUGCCGCGUGUGUGAAGAAGGCCUUCGGGUUGUAAAGCACUUUCAGCGAGGAGGAAGGUGGUGAACUUAAUACGUUCAUCAAUUGACGUUACUCGCAGAAGAAGCACCGGCUAACUCCGUGCCAGCAGCCGCGGUAAUACGGAGGGUGCAAGCGUUAAUCGGAAUUACUGGGCGUAAAGCGCACGCAGGCGGUUUGUUAAGUCAGAUGUGAAAUCCCCGGGCUCAACCUGGGAACUGCAUUUGAAACUGGCAAGCUAGAGUCUCGUAGAGGGGGGUAGAAUUCCAGGUGUAGCGGUGAAAUGCGUAGAGAUCUGGAGGAAUACCGGUGGCGAAGGCGGCCCCCUGGACGAAGACUGACGCUCAGGUGCGAAAAGCGUGGGGAGCAAACAGGAUUAGAUACCCCUGGUAGUCCACGCUGUAAAACGAUGUCGAUUUUGGAGGUUGUGCCCUUGAGGCGUGGNUUCCGGAGCUAACGCGUUAAAUCGACCGCCUGGGG